rnacentral:rRNA from 1 species
GAUGAACGCUGGCGGCGUGCCUAAUACAUGCCAGUCGAGCGAACGGACGAGAAGCUUGCUUCUCUGAUGUUAGCGGCGGACGGGUGAGUAACACGUGGAUAACCUACCUAUAAGACUGGGAUAAUUUCGGGAAACCGGAGCUAAUACCGGAUAAUAUUUUGAACCGCAUGGUUCAAAAGUGAAAGACGGUCUUGCUGUCACUUAUAGAUGGAUCCGCGCUGCAUUAGCUAGUUGGUAAGGUAACGGCUUACCAAGGCAACGAUGCAUAGCCGACCUGAGAGGGUGAUCGGCCACACUGGAACUGAGACACGGUCCAGACUCCUACGGGAGGCAGCAGUAGGGAAUCUUCCGCAAUGGGCGAAAGCCUGGCGGAGCAACGCCGCGUGAGUGAUGAAGGUCUUCGGAUCGUAAAACUCUGUUAUUAGGGAAGAACAUAUGUGUAAGUAACUGUGCACAUCUUGACGGUACCUAAUCAGAAAGCCACGGCUAACUACGUG